CACCCCCUAGACAUAGCAAUUUCCGGAUACUUAAACCUGCGAGGCGGGAAACUGCAGGAGACGUAAUCGUACAUUCAGGUGAUGUUUUUGUCUGUGAUUGUAACCUGACUUGUAGCUAAACUAAUUAAUGUGUUUCUCCCUUUUUUAAAAUAAGAACAAUACAUUUCCUCUGCUGAUUGUUCUAAUCGUAGACUGUACAUGGUUCUAACCUGUGCAAAGUUUGUUAUGCUGGCUUUUAAACUGAUCAAAUAUAUGAUAAGAAACUAAUGUACAUAAGCUGAUAAUAGUUUAUAAAAACAAUAAGGAUAUUAAGUCCUCAAUCUGUUUUACUGUUUUCAUCCAAUUGUUUGAUUGUCAUGAUAGCUGGGUCAAAAUAGGAUAUUUGACUUAAAAAUAGAGAAUAUUUAAAGUUGUUUUUUUAUUUUUUUUUAUUUUUUAAGUAAACUGGAGAUAAAUAAAAGGAGAGUGAUCCAGAUGAUAAAAGUGUAAACUGUAAAAAUCCUUAAAAGCACCUGUUCAUAUAUAAACAUGAGUCGACAAACAAUCUCUCUCAUCAUCUUGCACUAAUCUCUUUUAAUAUUUUGGAGCUGUAAUCCAGCUACAGUGAAUUUCUUGUGGCUGAAGUUGCCUUUUUUAAACUUGAAACUGAUAAUACCAUCCAUUAGCCUGAUUACUCAGCUGAUCAAUUAACAAAAAUCUGGCACAGAGCCUUUUUUUGAAGAAUAUGUUUAAUUCUGUUUCAAAAGCAGCAUUUACAGGAAUAUCAACAUUCAACAGAACUGAAACGAGACUGCACAUUAUAGGAGAUUAAAACAUGUCUGAAGUGAUGAGUCUAAUGGAUGUCAGAUAUGCCUUAGCCUACCUUAAAAACUACAACUUUCUCUUGUUCUUUCAGGACUCUACACCAGACCCUCCCUUGAGUCGGGUGGACCACCAUCUUCAUGUGGCGGCCUUCCUCCCUCGGCGUCCCGCUCAGGUCGAGGCGCUCAGCUGCUCCUGUGAUGCUGUUCAGAGUCUGAUUAUCAGUCCAUCUUUUCACUGACUGAUCAGAGACUGACUCCUCUUUAGGUGGAACUACCUCUUUAAUAACUUGUUAAGUGUCUCUGGUAAUCAAUCUUCAACAUGUAACCAUUUUUUUUAUUAAUAAAUAAAGAGGAGUCUCCAUUUAUCUCCACAGCUUCACUCUCAGUCUCUGAUCAGUCAGUGAAAAGAUAUGGGGGGAGAUUUAUCUCAAAAUUAUGCUCAAAUAUAUAUCCACAAUUUCCACAUGUGACUUUCAGAUCCACAAAUGUAUUAUCAUGAUUUUCACGUGGUUUUUUUUAUUUGUUUGUGUGCAUUUAUCAUGAGUCAUCAUUCGUAAAUCUUAAAUUCUGCUUGUGAAUUGUUGAAAAAUGUGUUUGUGGAUCAACCGGCGCGUGUGUUUAUUUUUGAGACAAAUAUCACAGUUUUCAAGACACACAAAUUGAGGAUUUUCACGUGUGGAGAAAACCGCCUCUCCCAUCCACUGGGCGGCAGUGUUUCUCCCUCUGUUGAGAGAGGAAGAUGAUUGACAGCUGUCCACCUCAGAAGUGGGGAGAAGUUUCUCUGCUUCUAUAGUGGAAAGCUGUCAAUCAUCUUCCUCACAGUCUAUGCCCUUAGCAGAGAGACAGAGAGCUCUUUACACAAAUGUGGUCAAGUUUAACCCAAAAUAAACCCAAAUUCUGAUGAUUUAUUUGUUGUAUUUUAUGGUACAGGUGCUGGCAGUUGGACUUGACAUAUUGGAAGAAGAGGAGGAUCAUCAAACAGAGAAGCGGAUACUCUCAGGUAAUGUUAUCAUCCGUGUUUUUAAAGUUCAUCAGUGUUUUCAUUCCUGGAAAAUAAUUAUUGCGUUGUAGAUGAGACAUGACUUUAAGAAAACGUAGAGCUCAAAACAUCAGGGUUACAAUUUAAUGAAUUUCUUCACCAAAAAUCACAAAUCAGCUGAUAUUAAUGUGUUUUUUUAUUAAAUUCGCGGCAUAAAAAAAAAACCAAGCAGAAGUAUCAUUGAAUUUCCUGUAAAUGUUUCAGUGAACUGAAUCAUUCUAAGUUUUUUUUUUUUGUCAUGACUUAAAAGUUACGGUGUUGCUAGAGCAGCCACAUUUUUAUAUCAUGUUGUUUUGAUACCAGAUAAAUAUGGACAAAAUUAAAGAAGAAGUCUUAAAGUUAAAAAUCAGUAACAUUACGCUAAUAAUAAUAAGAAUAAAUUUUCAUCUUUCAAUCUUGAAUUCUAGCUGUAAACUGGUGGUUUCUAAAAAAGAAAAAAACUGAAUAAAAUAUAACUUUCCACCAGAGGGCGCCGUUUCUAUACAAAACUGCCCUUCUAUAAAUAAUGAUUUUUAUCAAUACAUUUAUGGAUAAUUUAAUAGAUUCGUACACAUUUGUAUCUGACAGAAACAUACUUGUAGAAUAAAAUUAUGACGUUAUUCUUGAAACAGUUAGUGGACUUUAUCUGCUGUCAGCCUACAGUUUCGUAAGAACGAUUGAAGAGGAGUGAAUCUGAGCAGAUUUUUAUUUUCUCAUCUCCAUAAUUUAAUCACCCACUCACAAAGAACACUACAAAGAACUAUAAGCUUUAAGUCCAAGUCCAGAGUUGUGUUGUAUCAGGAGAUUGUGACUUACACCCUGUAUAACCUAAAUACAUGUUUUUACUCACUUUUAUUUGAGGGAGAAAAAAACUACAAGCCAAAAGUCCUGAGCACUUCACAUUGAAAGCUGCUAUUUGCAGAAAUUUUCAGCAAUAAAUAUAAUGCACUAAAAUAGUAAGUUACAAGAACAACUGCUAAAAACCUGUGAAUUAAAGAAAUAUUUUAAUUUAGAUGUCACAAUUCUAAUCUAAUGUGGAUUUUCAGUUCUGUCAAAGUCCAGUGACUCAACUUUAAAGAGAUAAUGAUUUUAAGCUCUCUCUUGUUCACUAAUUAAUGCUUUAGUUCCCUGUAUUUCUCGUGUUUUCUUCAAUUCAUAUGAAGACUAUUGUAAUAAAUCAUGAAAGAAUCACAUUAAACACUGGAGUUAAAAGUCCAACGUUUUAUUGAUGUAAUAGACACAAGAAUAAUAACACCAAACACAGCUGAAGGUUUAAUUAUUCAUUUGUUCAUGGAUAUUUGAGACUCAGAUCAGCUUCUCUGACAGUCAUGCAAAAUUAAGUACAAACAGAUCUUUAGCGCAAAUUUAAUAAAACUUUUCACAUAUUUUUGUUUUUACUGUUUCAAAAGACAUCUCAGUAAAAAAACAACUCAUUGAUCAGUGAAGAAGCCGGAGAGCUUCUCUGAACUCUCACCACAGUCCAGUUUGACAUCCUCAGCACAGAUUUUUUGUCUUUCGUUGGGUUAAAUGUGACAAACUAAUCGUCUCUCUUCUUUUCUUUCAGGACUCUGGAGUUUUUCCUUUUGUGAAUUUUUCUUUGUUCAUACUUUGCAUUUUGGGGGGAGUCUAAGUAUGUGGUUUAUUUAGUUAGGGGGGGGGGGGGGGGACCCACAAGUUUAUUAAUAAAAAUAACACACUGUCACUCUGUCUCUCUUUAUUCGAAUCAGAUCCAGGUCUCGUUGAAUUUUAAAGUCCAGUGUCUAGAAAGAAGAGGGAAAGGACUCCUGAAGGGAACUUGAUUGAAAGAGAAAACAAGCAGAAUGUGUCCACGUAGCUCAGAGGAUAAGAAGACUGACUGGGACCCCCGAGGUUGUGAUUUAGAUCCUAACCUCAUCCAGGUUUAGGUGAAAUUUCAAGUCCAGGAGCCAAAGUACCAAGGUAAAAGGGCGCGCAGCUCAUACCUGAGUGUGGAUCUUAUCUCAUAGCGCUGCGUGUUAGUCAAUUGGCUCCCAAUGUGUGGACCCUGGUUCGAUUCCCGCUAGUGACGGGGUAGUUCAAAGUAAUGAAAUGAUGAAACUUUCCUUCUAUACCGUAAUCGGUAUAGACCACCUGAAGAAGUUAUGAUUAUUCAUCACUUCUAAUGAUGCCCAAUUCUGAUCGUUACUAAUACUCUCCAGCCACGAGUUGGUAUCAAACCAGGCCCCAUUGGGUGCCAAUAGACUUCCAUGCAGGGCCAUUAGAUAGGAUCCACACUAGGGCAUGCGGAAUGCCCGUUUUUAUCAUCUUACUUUGGCUAAAGGACUAAAAAUUUUAAAUAGAUAUGGGUAAGGUAGGGCUUGAACCUAUGACCUAAAGAGUGUCAGUCAGUCUCCUUAUCCUCUGAGCUAUGUGGACACAUAGGGUAAUUCCGGGUUUUUCCUAUUUAACUCUCCCUUCUCGACACUAGACUUUAAAUUUCACCAAGACCUGAAUAAGGUAAGACUUGAACCCACAACCUCAGGAGUCCCAGUCAGUCUCCUUAUCCUCUGCGCUACAUGGACACUCAGUGUGGUUCCAGGUUUUUCCUAUUUAACCUUCCUUUCUG
rnacentral:lncRNA from 1 species